AAGAAAAAUACGCAACCUCUUCUUGAAGGCUUAAGCGAGGGAAGGGGGAGAAGGAGAGUCAGACGCCCAUCUAGGGAUUUGUUUCCUUCCCUUGAAAGACUAUUAUCACCUUCACCAGAUAGAAGAAUAGAGGAUAUGCCUGAAAGAACUCCUCUAAGACGCACUCUUGCAGACCAAUCAAAUGCAGUUGGCCCUUUCCAUUUUAACAGCAUAGGUCAUGGGUGUCGUGGCCCAUACAAAUUUGAUUGCAUAUGAAAAAUGCAGUAUAGGUAAGAAUGACUCCUAGGUCGUCUCUCAAGGACCAAAUGUGGUUCGAGAAUCAGAUCAAACACGUAGUGGGGGGGUUGUUAAAGGUUUGUGAAUGCGGAUGAACUAAAUCAAAAGACGAAUGCAAACAGAAAUGUAAAACUGAAAUGCAGACAUAAACAUAAAAACGGAAUCAAAUACAAAAUAAAAAAAAUGGUCGGUCAUUAACUCAAUUAGUAUGCUUCCAAUCCCAGAUUAAAGACAAGUACACACUACUCUAAUCCAAAUCCAACACAAAUCACCCAACUAAGCGAAGGCUAAUUCGGUGUUCAGAAUUGCAAACUAAGCGAAUUCAAUACACA
rnacentral:lncRNA from 1 species